rnacentral:lncRNA from 1 species
UACUUCCCUCUCAGGCAGAGCUGUUCUAGAGAAAAUGGAGUUGAAUCUCUGACCAUAGCUGAAAGGUGACUUGAAUGGAAUUUACUGCUUAGUAAGUACUUGUUGGAUUGGAUUGGACCCAGAGAUUUCUUCAACUUGCCAAAGGCAUUCUGGACCAAAGAAAACCUGGAACAAAGGAGCAGCAAGAGACUGUCACAGAGGGAAAAUUGACAAACCAGAAAAACACUGGAUUGAAGGACUAUUAUAGUCAGGUAUGCUCACCAUUGAUAACCUAAGAGGAAGCUAUGAAGAUUCAAAGGUUUAAUAAGUAG